CGCCUCCGCCAUCACGGGACCGCCGCGGGCGGGCCCGGCACCGCCCUCCGCGGCCGCCUCACGGCGGGGCAGCGGAGCGCAACGGGCGCCCAGCGGCACGGGCUGACGAGGGGAGUUGGGGUGGGGAUGUUCAUGUGUGUAUAUGUGGAGAGAGAUUGUGGCGACUUGGGUUGCGGCUUUCUGUAGUAAAAUCUUAAGAAUCGCUUGUGUUGUCGCAAAACAAUUGCAGUCCUGGGGGAAUUUUUUAAAAGGGCUUUCUGCAGAGUGUACCGUAAACUGGGCAGAGGGGUAAAUGUAAGCACAAGUCUGACUUUUGGCGAAGUGUCUCAGGUUUUAAGCGAGCUAGGUGUUCUGGCAGAUGCCAGUGUAAAUUUUGGAAGUUGGCAUGAGGUGUUCAGGAGGCAAGUCAUGCACCUGAAAGCUGGAAAUUCCAGUGGAAAGCCACCCUGACUUUAAGCCACCACUAAUUACAUGGUUAACGCAAACAGUGGCGUGCCAUCACUCGUGCUCAGGCGGAUACGGCAGUUACGCGACAGCAGCGGGGAGUUCAUCAUACCUGCAUGCUGCUACUGCAGGGCAUCUGCAGAUUCAGUCAGCAAGUGCUCCCUCGGUCAUCUUCCCGUUGCGGGAGGUCAGCUCCGGGGACACACUCUGGAUCAAGAAGCAGACUCUUAAGGCAAAAAAAUAAAAAUAGCAUCUCCAUAAUGAAGUUUAUAGCUGUUUGCAAAGAACACAGGCAUCUUGCUGUGGGAUUAUUAAGAAACAAAAUCUCUCUUCUUUUCUAGGGCUUGUCCUCUUUUAGGCUGUGUCACUCAAGGUUUUGGAGAAGAAGCUUUUGCUGUUGUUGAGGUUGCUUGCCCGGAAAAACGCUGAAGCCUCACCCAUUUCGUGAAUAAUUACAGGGUGGGGUGGCAUGGGUGUGUAAGAGGAGGUGAGUCCUCGCUGCUGUCCUCAGUACUGUGAUAUGGUCCUGCUGCCUUGCACUGAGACUGGCACAAUGGCACAGUCAGCAAAUCCAGGGAGCUGAUUGAACACCUCCCUCAUCAAAGAAAAAGUGAUGGCAUGUGGGAAGGAGCAGGAUCAAGGAAAGGCUGAGACUAUGCCAGGCCUGUUUAGAGUGUGAAACUGCACCUGAAGGGAAUAGAUCACAAAAUAUCCCGUUCUUGUCAUCUGCUGUGCCUGUUUGUGCCCAUUUGUGCAAUUGGAGUGUAAUGCCUUGAUGGAAGCUGUUUGAUGCAGGUUGUCCAUGGCAAAAUGUUACUUAGACUUGUCAUGUUACAGGUAAAAAACAAUUCCUGGUUAUAUGAUGCCAAACUGGCACACAGCACCUAACACUUCCAAAUCCCCCCACUGCAUGCAGCAAGAUCAAUGUGGAAAUGGCCUUGUGGUCUCUUCAGGCUGUCUCAGAGACAGAUUUUGCACGCUGCUAUUCAAGUUCUGGCACAGGUUUCAGGUUGAUUGUUGCUCUCUUCCAGUUUCCUAAUCUGACUGUCUCAAGUGUGCUGACUGAACUGCUUGAGUUAUAUACCUCUGUUUGUGUUUUUAAGCAUAUUUAGAAAAUACAGAUUAUUUCAUGUUUCCUCGGCACAACUGAGAGAUCAGUAAACUCUACUUUCUCAGUAGAGUACUCACUUACUCAGAGUAGUCAAUGAUGGAAGUUUGGAAAAGCUGGAAGUUUGUGGUCAGCUCUAUGCUGCUAAACUAAGCCUGCUGUUUGGAGGUAAGUGUUCACCAUCCUAACCAUCCCUAAGGACUGGUUGGUGUAGAUGCAACUCUGCUUAUUUUUGCUUUCAGUUUCGUUUUCUGUCAUUGUAGCUUCAGUAUAGCAAGGCUGUUCCACACCAAAAUCACCUAUUGUCUCUACUGUGCCUUUUUCAGAGAAUCAAGUAUGAAUGUUGACAGUGGAGGAGAGAGAUAAUAUGAGAUACAGUAAAAGGAUUAACAGUGGAUAAAGCAGGAGUCUGGGAAGGAUGGAAUUUUUUCUUCUAUCUGUAGAAAUGUCAAAAUGGGGACAUAACAUUUGGGAAUAGGGAUGGAGAAAGCGCCUCAACUAAGACAUUUUAACCUCAUUUGUGCAAGGAGGCUUUGACAAUGGAAACACAUUUCAGGUAGGAGUUACACCUUAUGUAGGCGGUCAUUAUAGUGGGGCAAGGAAGUAUCACAGUUAGAGAGAGAAGGGUUCUGUUUUGGUUUUCUUUUUCAGCUUUGUAAGUAGGCUGAUAACAUCAAGUGAUAAUCAAGGCCAACUUUAGUGAUGGCAGAUGGUUAUGCUUCCAGACUGUACUGCUGCUAGCAAAUGCAGCUUUAAAGUAUCAGUGAAGUGUUUAUAGGACAGCCUGGGGAAGCAAUGAAAGUAUUUCUCAAAGAUCACUGUGCUCCAUUAGCUCCAAGUCUUGGGCGUGGAAAGCUGUCAUGCUUUAUCCUUUUCCUGUUCUGUAUAUUUCAUGUCAUGCUUCUGAGAAGUACAGAUUUUGAUUAUUGCUCAAAGUCUUCUCUUUUAUUGUAGACAUUUUGCUUAGAUUGUAAUUUGUUCUAAACAACCAGGAAUGUACUUUUACCUAUGUCUGUAAAGACUUAUGUAAUAAUACAGCUCAUAAAUACCUACAAAAUGAGUACUAGAUAUACUACUAUGUAUUUUUGUGGAAAUUUUAAAAAGAAGUGCAGAAGUGAAUCAUUUCUGAGGUAAGAAACCUGCAUCCCCUAUUCUAUUAGAGAUGCCUUUUGCAUUCUGUAAGGUAAAAGUUAAGUGUUCAUUAGUUUUAGUCUAACCCUGUCUCCUGGGAAGUCUUAAAAAGUGAAAAGAUUGCUAAACAUGACAAGACAUGACAUGGAUCUAGCUGGGCUUGACUUCUGCAACAGAAUUGUUUGCAGAAUUCAAGGAACAGGUUCCUUCACACAAACACAUACACACACUCAUUAGAUAUGGAAAAAAUGUUUUUGACAUUAAGGAAUCUCAGAUGUUCACCUUACUAAUCAAAAUGGUGGAAUAGAGUUGGACAGAAGUAUCUUUUACGGGAGGAAGCGGUAAGGGUGUUUUCAAGUUAUUGAAUCUGGCUUUCAGAUCUUCCAAUUGUACUGUGGCUAUAGUUGGCACUUACAGAGAUGAGAGUUCUCUCAUCAGUGUUUCCAGGUGUGCAGAGGGUUUUACCAUAAAGUCUCUGCAGUUCACUCCCUUUCUUACUUGAGAAAUAGCAAAGUUGCAGAGAGGAAAUAGUGACUUAUCACUGAGUAAUAUUCUGUGGCCACUGUAGUCUGGACAACAUGAGGGGAAGUUACUACCCAGGCUGUGAAUUUACCAUACUGAUAAUUGCACCCUAGUGUCUCUUGAAGAUGUUUUUAGAGUAUGUUAAAGGCCUGUCCAAUAAUUUUUGAAAGAAAUUUUAUGGAAAUUAGCAGAAAGUGUGACUUUCCUUUUAUUUGGAAAUCAAGUGAUAUUUUACUUGCUGCAUUUCCAAGCUAAGCUAAAUCUCUCAGUUAACUGAAACUGACUUAAAUUACAAGUAAAUGUUUUCACAGUGACUGUAAGCAGUUCAGCUGUUCCAUUGUAUGAGCUAGAUUGUUUUGCACAUGAGUCUGAAUAGUACCUUCACGUGCGAUAGCUUACUGUCUUGGUCAGUGGCAUAGGGUACUUCAGCUGAAGUAUUGCCGACAAGGAGGCAUUUUGGCAGAGUAAGUUAGAGUCAUAAUUUUGGAGUACAAAGAGCUGAUCACAUUAACUUCCUGCAGGGAAAGUUUGUGAAGAUUCUGCAGUUUGGAAAUGGAGUAAACAACUACCAGGGUGUGACUUGCUGCACUGUGAAUUCCUAACCUGCACUGUGAUUUCCUAGCUCAUACAUGGUCUUUUGUAUGAUGUAUGUCCAGGUUUUUCUGGACAUAUCUUCUCUUUCCUUCUGGUGACUUUUUGUACAGAUUGGCCUGUUUUUUUUGUUUGUUUGUCUGUGUUUUUUUUUAAGGACAUCCUUUAUAUACCAAGGGUAUAAAAUCUGGUAGGCUGGAAACCCCCAGCAGCCUAGAAACUCUGCAAGUGACCACUGAGUGCUCACACUUUGUGUGCUUAGGACCGUCAGACUUCAAGUAUGUUUAUUGGCCAAGGAGAAUCUCAAAAUGGAAGGAGAUUACAUACGACCUGUGUGUGAGCUACAUGCUGAGAAUGCGUGUACUGGUGUUGACAUACGUAAGUAAUUAGGAAUGAGAACUAACCAAAACAGGAUGUUUAACUGAUGUAACUUGAAGAAAACUCAUAGGCCAAAGCUGCUUUGGAUAAUAGCGAGGACAGUUUGUGAAUGGAUGCAGAUGCCAGAAGCAUGAAUUGUGUAAGUAUGUGAACUAUCUACAAAGCAAAGUGUAGACACAGCAUAUGUAAUAUAUAUGUAUUUUUUUGUAAAGGGAAUUGUGGUUUAGGUUUCCAGCCUCUCUGUGUGUUACUGUCUGACUAGUGUUUCAGUGUUUGCUGUUACGUGAAUACAAGAAAAUCUGAAUGACAUGUCUGGUGCUGAGUCAAAUCUGUGGCUUCAGUACUUAAGCCCCUGGAAGGUGUGAGAAACAGAUGUUGGAAGAAAUUGUCAGCAUAUGCCAGGUGCAGGAACAUUCUAGUUUACUGCAUUUAUUGGAUGACUUUAAAACUCCUCAUGGCCUUCUGUUGGUUUGUCUUUUUCACAGCUGUCUGGGAAUUCUGAGGUCUAGAAUAGUGCUGACUGCGGAUAUGAGGACUUUGGACUGAUAGAGUCUGCUGUUCUGGUGGAGAACUACUGCUCCAGAGUCUUCAGUUUCAUCAGUCCCGGUUCUCUGGUGUCCAGUGAUUGCAUGAGGUAUCAGAAGAGGAAAAAGGCUGAAUCAGCCGGAGAGAGAGACCAUGCAGCUCCAUUGUGACCGUGCCUUGCUGUGCUGGGACAGAUAGGAUGCAGGAACAGCUGACCUGGACAUGGAACAGAGCUUUUACUGCAUUUUUGUCAUCCUCGAAGGGGAGUAAAUCUUGUGCAGAGGGCAGAAGAGAAGAAAAAGGGUUUUUGUGUCACUCAGUACUCCAGAUUUCCCAGUGAGUUAAAGUCACAUGAGCGAAAUCCUGGCUCGAGACCAGCCAGGUCACCUAGGCAGAAAGGGGUUAGCAAAAGGUGAAAGGCAGAGAUGCUCCUGAAAUUUGUUGUGACGCUUGUGUUAUCUGUAUGUCCAAAAUCUCAGGUAGUGUAGCCUGCCACUAACAUGUUCCAGUGCUUCGCUGAACUAGGUCUGGUGCAUUUUUUAGUGCUGGCAAAUUGUUACUGAUUUUCCAUAUUUUAAAACAGGACCACAAUCCUGAAAAGCAAUGAGCUGCAUGCAGAGUAGUCUAUUAAGAAGAAAAUAAUCUAAAACCUUGUUUUGCAAUGUUAAAUGCGGACUCCUGAAUGCAGGAUGGAGUGGACAGUGGAUAUAGAGGAAAGAGCAAAGCCAGAAUGUAGCUGAUACCUUCUGAGUUAUGUUGAUAACAAGUGAUUGCCUAACGGUGAGUUUAAGAUUAUUUCUCACAAGCUCUUGGCAGUUUCUUAUGUUGAAUGGUGCCAAUGUGUUUGUCUUCCAGCUGGAGCCACGAGAGGGUGUCCGUGUCCCACCCAGCCUGCCGAGGCUGUGACUUGAGGCAGGCAUCUGCCGCCUCACUGCAAGGGAGAGGGAGAAGAACAGGGAGGGAUGGCUGCAGAACAGCCCAGGCUUUAUGACUGCCACAGUUUAAAAAGCAGUGUCUAAAAUAUUACAUCUUGCAAGUAAAUGUGUGAAUGUAAUGGUAAUUCCACAAUAGUAGUUGUGGGGCA